CUGCAUGUACCGUAUGAAUAAGCAUCGGCUAACUCCGUGCCAGCAGCCGCGGUAAUACGGAGGAUGCGAGCGUUAUCCGGAUUUAUUGGGUUUAAAGGGUGCGUAGGCGGCCUGUUAAGUCAGCGGUGAAAUCUAGGAGCUUAACUCCUAAAUUGCCAUUGAUACUGGCGGGCUUGAGUGUAGAUGAGGUAGGCGGAAUGCGUGGUGUAGCGGUGGAAUGCAUAGAUAUCACGCAGAACUCCGAUUGCGAAGGCAGCUUACUAAGGUACAACUGACGCUGAAGCACGAAAGCGUGGGUAUCAAACAGGAUUAGAUACCCUGGUAGUCCACGCAGUAAACGAUGAUAACUGGGCGUAUGCGAUAUACAGUAUGCUCCUAAGCGAAAGCGUUAAGUUAUCCACCUGGGGAGUACGCCGGCAACGGUGAAACUCAAAGGAAUUGACGGGGGCCCGCACAAGCGGAGGAACAUGUGGUUUAAUUCGAUGAUACGCGAGGAACCUUACCCGGGAUUGAAAUGUAGAUGACCGCUCCUGAAAGGGAGUUUUCCUUCGGGACAUCUAUGUAGGUGCUGCAUGGUUGUCGUCAGCUCGUGCCGUGAGGUGUCGGCUUAAGUGCCAUAACGAGCGCAACCCCUGUCUACGGUUGCCAUCAGGUAAUGCUGGGAACUCCGUAGAGACUGCCGUCGUAAGGCGUGAGGAAGGUGGGGAUGACGUCAAAUCAGCACGGCCCUUACAUCCGGGGCGACACACGUGUUACAAUGGUAAGGACAAAGGGCAGCUACCUGGCGACAGGAUGCGAAUCUCUAAACCUUAUCACAGUUCGGAUCGGAGUCUGCAACUCGACUCCGUGAAGCUGGAUUCGCUAGUAAUCGCGCAUCAGCCAUGGCGCGGUGAAUACGUUCCCGGGCCUUGUACACACCGCCCGUCAAGCCAUGGGAGUCUGGAGUACCUAAAGUCCGUAACCGCAAGGGUCGGCCUAGGGUAAUACAGGUGACUGGGGCUAAGUCGUAACAAGGUAGCCGUACCGGAAGGUGCGGCUGGAACACCUCCUUU
rnacentral:ncRNA from 1 species